UACGGAGGGUGCAAGCGUUAUCCGGAUUCACUGGGUUUAAAGGGUGCGUAGGUGGGCAGGUAAGUCAGUGGUGAAAUCUCCGGGCUUAACCCGGAAACUGCCAUUGAUACUAUCAGUCUUGAAUACCGUGGAGGUAAGCGGAAUAUGUCAUGUAGCGGUGAAAUGCUUAGAUAUGACAUAGAACACCAAUUGCGAAGGCAGCUUACUACCCGAAUAUUGACACUGAGGCACGAAAGCGUGGGGAUC
rnacentral:rRNA from 1 species